AUUUAAGUAGUUUAAUUAAAAAUUAUGAUUUGUGGUGUCAUAGAUAUAGCAUACUAUCUUAAAUU
rnacentral:tRNA from 1 species